rnacentral:rRNA from 1 species
GAUGAACGCUGGCGGCGUGCCUAAUACAUGCAAGUCGAGCGAACAGACGAGGAGCUUGCUCCUCUGACGUUAGCGGCGGACGGGUGAGUAACACGUGGAUAACCUACCUAUAAGACUGGGAUAACUUCGGGAAACCGGAGCUAAUACCGGAUAAUAUAUUGAACCGCAUGGUUCAAUAGUGAAAGACGGUUUUGCUGUCACUUAUAGAUGGAUCCGCGCCGCAUUAGCUAGUUGGUAAGGUAACGGCUUACCAAGGCAACGAUGCGUAGCCGACCUGAGAGGGUGAUCGGCCACACUGGAACUGAGACACGGCCCAGACUCCUACGGGAGGCAGCAGUAGGGAAUCUUCCGCAAUGGGCGAAAGCCUGACGGAGCAACGCCGCGUGAGUGAUGAAGGUCUUCGGAUCGUAAAACUCUCUUAUUAGGGAAGAACAAAUGUGUAAGUAACUAUGCACGUCUUGACGGUACCUAAUCAGAAAGCCACGGCUAACUACGUG